AGAACGAACGCUGGCGGCAUGCCUAAUACAUGCAAGUCGAACGAACUCUUCGGAGUUAGUGGCGCACGGGUGCGUAACGCGUGGGAAUCUGCCCCUUGGUUCGGAAUAACAGUUGGAAACGACUGCUAAUACCGGAUGAUGACGAAAGUCCAAAGAUUUAUCGCCAAGGGAUGAGCCCGCGUAGGAUUAGCUAGUUGGUGAGGUAAAGGCUCACCAAGGCAACGAUCCUUAGCUGGUCUGAGAGGAUGAUCAGCCACACUGGGGACUGAGACACGGCCCAGACUCCUACGGGAGCAGCAGUAGGGAAUAUUGGACAA
rnacentral:rRNA from 1 species